GAUGAACGCUGGCGGCGUGCCUAAUACAUGCAAGUCGAGCGAACGGACGAGAAGCUUGCUUCUCUGAUGUUAGCGGCUGACGUGUGAGUAACACGUGUAUAACCUACCUAUAAUACUGGGAUAACUUCGGGAAACCGGAUCUAAUACCGGAUAAUAUUUUGAACCGCAUGGUUCAAUAGUGAAAUGCUUUCUUUCUUUCUCUUAUAGAUGGAUCCGCGCUGCAUUAGCUAGUUGGUAAGGUAACGUCUUACCAAGGCAACGAUGCAUAGCCGACCUGAGAGGGUGAUCGGAAAAAAGGGAACGGAGACACGGACAAGAAAACAAAGGGAGGAAGCAGAAGGGAAUAGUACGCAAUGGGAGAAAGGAUGACGGAGAAAAGCCGAGUGAGUGAUGAAGGUAUUAGGAUCGUAAAACUCUGUUAUUAGGGAAGAAAAUAUGUGUAAGUAAAUGUGAACAUAUUGACGGUAACUAAUCAGAAAGCAACGGCUAACUACGUG
rnacentral:rRNA from 1 species